AGCCAAGAAGAAGCAGCACAAUCUCUACUCCCACAGACAACAGGAGAUUCUUCACUCCAAUACCAGCAUAAGCGGCAUUUCGGCCGAGAAGAACAUAAGGCUCUUCUCCUAUGCGCAGUUGAGAUCAGCAACAGACAACUUCAACCACAACAAUAAAGUCGGCCGAGGUGGAUUCGGGACAGUAUAUAAGGGAACCCUACAAAACAAGCAAGACGUCGCAGUCAAGGUUCUCUCUGCCGAAUCCAGACAGGGCAUCAGAGAAUUUUUGACAGAAAUUGAUGUUAUCAGCAAUGUGAAGCACCCUAACCUGGU